rnacentral:rRNA from 1 species
UACAGAGGGGGCAAGCGUUAUUCGGAAUUAUUGGGCGUAAAGGGCGCGUAGGCGGCCUUUCAAGUGGCGGGUGAAAUCCCUCGGCUUAACCGAGGAGCUGCCUGUCAGACUGGGAGGCUUGAGACCGGGAGAGGUGAGUGGAAUUCCCAGUGUAGCGGUGAAAUGCGUAGAUAUUGGGAGGAACACCAGUGGCGAAGGCGGCUCACUGGACCGGAACUGACGCUGAGGCGCGAAAGCGUGGGGAGCAAACAGG